rnacentral:lncRNA from 1 species
CUUAGAAUACAGGCGGAAGCAUGGCUCAGAGGCCAAGCUCACUGGCUGCUCUUCUAGAGGAUCUGGGUUCAGUGCCAAGUACCUGCAUGAUGGCUCACAGCCAUCUGCACUUCCAGUUCCGGAGGAUCUGACACCUUCCAAACUCCGUGAGCACCUGGCACACACAUGGAACACAUGUGUACACACAGACAAAGCACACAUACACAUAAACAUACAUCUCUUUCUAGGAAAAGCAAAAGCUAGGCUGUGGUGGCAAAUGCCUUUAGUCUCCACACUCAGGAUGCAGAGGCAGGGGGUCUGUGAGUUAGUUCGAGCCCAGCCUGGUCUAGAGAGUCAGUUUUAGGACAGCCAGAGCUACACAGAGAAACCCCAUCUCAGAAAGAGAGAGACGAGCAGACCAGCCAACCUUAGAGGGAAAAAUGUCUUAAGGAGAAGGACACUGGGCUGACAUGACAGACGGACAGACAAGAGCAGGUCCAGCUAUGGCAGAGGGCCAGACCAGCUGGGUGGCCAGCAGGGCUUCUGAACUUGGAGUUUGUGACAGGUACUUCUCCUAAACACACCUGUCAUCAUCUGGAUACACUCUUAGGAAAACCACACACUUCAUACACUAUAACUCACUAGCAGAAAUGUCAUCAGCCAGUGUAGGCUGUAGGGAGUAGCAGGCCUCUCCUCUCUGACCCUGGGAGAGUCUCUAUUCUGGAGACCCUGUGUGGCUUGCUCGGACUGCUCCUGGGGCCUGGCUGUGAUGUAGUCUGUUUCCGCCUGCCUGUAUUGGCAC